GAAUGAAAAAAGAACUGCUAAUUCUUUAAAUAGUUAAACUACAUUCU
rnacentral:tRNA from 1 species